GACGAACGCUGGCGGCGUGCCUAAUACAUGCAAGUUGAGCGCUGAAGGUUGGUACUUGUACCAACUGGAUGAGCAGCGAACGGGUGAGUAACGCGUGGGGAAUCUGCCUUUGAGCGGGGGACAACAUUUGGAAACGAAUGCUAAUACCGCAUAAAAACUUUAAACACAAGUUUUAAGUUUGAAAGAUGCAAUUGCAUCACUCAAAGAUGAUCCCGCGUUGUAUUAGCUAGUUGGUGAGGUAAAGGCUCACCAAGGCGAUGAUACAUAGCCGACCUGAGAGGGUGAUCGGCCACAAUGGGACUGAGACACGGCCCAAACUCCUACGGGAGGCAGCAGUAGGGAAUCUUUGGCAAUGGACGAAAGUCUGACCGAGCAACGCCGCGUGAGUGAAGAAGGUUUUCGGAUCGUAAAACUCUGUUGGUAGAGAAGAACGUUGGUGAGAGUGGAAAGCUCAUCAAGUGACGGUACCUACCCAGAAAGGGACGGCUAACUACGUG
rnacentral:rRNA from 1 species